GACGAACGCUGGCGGCGUGCCUAAUACAUGCAAGUUGAGCGCUGAAGGUUGGUACUUGUACCAACUGGAUGAGCAGCGAACGGGUGAGUAACGCGUGGGGAAUCUGCCUUUGAGCAGGGGACAACAUUUGGAAACGAAUGCUAAUACCGCAUAAAAACUUUAAACACAAGUUUUAAGUUUGAAAGAUGCAAUUGCAUCACUCAAAGAUGAUCCCGCGUUGUAUUAGCUAGUUGGUGAGGUAAAGGCUCACCAAGGCGAUGAUACAUAGCCGACCUGAGAGGGUGAUCGGCCACAUUGGGACUGAGACACGGCCCAAACUCCUACGGGAGGCAGCAGUAGGGAAUCUUCGGCAAUGGACGAAAGUCUGACCGAGCAACGCCGCGUGAGUGAAGAAGGUUUUCGGAUCGUAAAACUCUGUUGGUAGAGAAGAACGUUGGUGAGAGUGGAAAGCUCACCAAGUGACGGUAACUACCCAGAAAGGGACGGCUAACUACGUG
rnacentral:rRNA from 1 species